CAGCAACAGCGCAAGGGCGACGAACCAGCAUCAGCAUCAGAGAUCCGGAGCAUCAGUGUUCAACCCACGCAGCUGGAUCACUGAAAUGAUGAAGCGUUGCGUUGAAUCUCAUCAGGUCCUUUUGGAUGACAAAGUCAAGAUAACUGAGGCCAACAUCAGAAGGAAAAAUCUGCAAAGUGACAGAACAGGAAAGGAUGUACGCAGUGAAUGGGAAAUUACACCUUUCUGACAAUAUGAAUCCUGCAUCCUGCUGACUCAAACUGGGCACAAGAAUUGCAUGGUUUGUUUGGAGGAGAGCAUACCCAAAGGGACUGUCUGAGUGAGUCGAUGAACAUGAGCUUUAAAGAGGAAAAGCGAGACGAUGGAUGGAUGAAAAGAUGGAUGGUUGCGUGGAAGAGCUCCAGGGCUUGUCUGAGACGAGACAUUACUGUUACAUGAUCCAGCAGACAGCCGGAGUGAGGAGGAGAGCGAGAGAUAGAGAGACCAAGAGACCAAGAGAAGCGAAAGAAACAGUUAAUUGAGUUUCCUCCCGGCAGAAUGAAGAUUUGGCCCCCUGGACAUUUGAACCCAUUAUACUUUGUCGCUCUCUUUCUCCCAGCUCCUCAGAAUGACAGCAAACACUACUACACACAGACUGAAGGAUGCAUCUCCUCAGGAACUCUGGGCUAUUUUUAGACCUUUCCUUUUUAGCACUCCAAUCAAUGAAAUUCUGUUCCACCGUUUUGUCCCCACAAGACUUCCUCUGUUAUUUCUGCGUAAAUGGAGGUCAAAGCAAUUGAUUUUGGUUCACAUCCUAUCUGCAUUAUUGGACUGCUGCAGUAUGUGUAUGUGUGUGCGCUUAAUUCAUGUUCUGAGUUUAUGUCCAGCAGGGCUGGUUGCAUUUUUCAUUUAUCCAAUUUCCUCCUGUGCUUGAUUAGACUGUUACUCAUACUUGUUUCCUAAUUGCUCAUGUGAAAAUAGAAAAAAUGACAUUUGCAUUGAUUUCCUCCUUACACCCUUAAAGGAAUAGUUCUCAUUACAAUUUGCUGACAAUUUACUCCAAAAAGUUCUAAAAUGUAGAUGAAUUUGUUGCUUUUUUGGAGAAAUCUAGCGUUAUACAUCACUUGCUCACCAAUGGAUCCUUUGCAGUGAAUGGGUGCCGUCAGGAUUAGCUGUUAAAAACAUCACAAUAAUCUACAAGUAAUCCACAUGAUUCCAGUCCAUCAAUUAACAUCUCGUGAAGCAAAAAGCGGCAUGUUUGUAUGAAACAAAUCCAUCAAGGCAUUUUAACUUUAAACAUUCAAAAUUAUUGAAGAUAUAUACAUUUUUUUAUUAAAAUACUACAAUUUCUUAUCCCAGUGAAAUAUGUAGAGACAAGGGAUAAUUGACCUGAUCACCCCGUCUGUUUUUAUUCUGCUACAGUAUAAUGACUGGCUGACUGUAUAUCAUGCCGCUUUUUACAUGGCCAAAGUAAUAAAUAAAUAUAUAUUUUAACAGACGGGAAAUGGCAUAUUUAAAAAUAUUUCUGGUGCAUAAAUUACUUCAGCUUUAAACAUGAAAUUAAAAUUCACCUUUUCUUUUUCUUUUCUUGUAAAUGCAUGUUAUAGAUCUUAUUGUGAAUGGCUAUGUUUAUUUUUUUUCAUUUAUUUAAUUUAUUCAACAUUUUUUUGAUCUUGUGAUUUUAAUCAAAAUGAACAAUAAAUUAUAACUUAAUCUUUCCACUGAAAACAGUUGACUUCUCUGUGCUGACGUAUGCCGGCCUACAUCUCAAAAAUCUCAAAAGUCCACAUACUUCAUGUUUUUU